AAUAUUGGACAAUGGGGGCAACACUGAGCCAGCCAUGCCGCGUGUGUGAAGAGGGUCCUCGGAUUGUAAAGCACUUUAUGGUGGGAGGAAGGGCUCUAGGUUAAUACCCUGAAGUAUUGACGUUACCACCAGAAUAAGCACCGCCUAACUCUGUGCCAGCAGCCGCGGUAAUACAGAGGGUGCAAGCGUUAAUCGGAAUUACUGGGCGUAAAGCGCGCGUAGGUGGUUCAGUAAGAUGGAUGUGAAAUCCCCGGGCUUAACCUGGGAACUGCUUUCAUAACUGCUGAGCUAGAGUACGGUAGAGGGUAGUGGAAUUUCCUGUGUAGCGGUGAAAUGCGUAGAUAUAGGAAGGAACACCAGUGGCGAAGGCGACUACCUGGACUGAUACUGACACUGAGGUGCGAAAGCGUGGGGAGCAAAC
rnacentral:rRNA from 1 species